UUAUGUUGAUACACCAGGAUGUAGCUACCUUCGAGCAGCAACCAAGCUGCACAUUGUCCCUAGAAACAUCCCUUUCAAAGCAGAAUGUAUGCAGAGAAAAGGCGUGCUGAGGCUGUUAGAAUUAGGGGGAAAUAUCGAGAGAGGAUUCCUGUAAGCGUUUACUCUAACUGGUAGUCAUAUACUGGUUCUUCCCCCUCAUGCAACAACUAUGAGAGGUGGGUCCACAGUUAUAGACACCCAUUACUCUGUUUUGAAAUUUGCACAAUACACUGGAGCUCAUCCAAUUGCAGGGCGGCACACACCAGGAACCUUCAGGUCUUAUUUAUGAAUACAGGAUGCAUUUUGAAAAGGAUAAAGCAUUAGCUCGAUGAUUCCAGCCUGUGUUGAUAAACGAGCCUAGCCAGUUGGAGAAACACCGGAGAGCUGAUCAGGAGCUGAAGAAGCAUGUAUUGAAGUUGGUAUUCUGUCUUCAAGAAGCUCGGUCCCAAACACGGAAGCUUCAAAGGAUCCAACUAAGCAUGCAUGUUUGGAUUGGGA